rnacentral:misc_RNA from 1 species
GCUGGAUUGAUUUUGCAGAAUAAUGAGCUUACUGGGAAUAGAGGCCAAUCGAGUAGUAACCCAGUGGGAAACAGGUUUAAUUCACCUAACCAUCAUUCCUGGCAUUAUUCUACAAAAUUAGAAUUUCCAAGAUUUGAUGGCAAUGAUUUGGAAACUUGGCUGUUAAAAAUUGAGUAUUAUUUUGAGAUAAUGGAUGUGUUUCCAGAGAAUAAAGUGAAAUUGGC